GAAGGAUCAUUACUGAACUGUCAACACGAGUUGUUGCUGGUCCUCAAACGGGGGCAUGUGCACACUCUGUUUACACAUCCACUCACACCUGUGCAUCCUCUGUAGUUCCAUGGUAUGGGGGACACUGUCCUCCUGCUGUGGUUCUAUGUCUUUACACACACACCGUUAUAAAGUCUCAUGGCAUGUUAUAUAGCGUUUAACGCAAUACAAUACAACUUUCAGCAACGGAUCUCUUGGCUCUCGCAUCGAUGAAGAACGCAGCGAAAUGCGAUAAGUAGUGUGAAUUGCAGAAUUCAGUGAAUCAUCGAAUCUUUGAACGCACCUUGCGCCCUUUGGCUAUUCCGAAGGGCAUGCCUGUUUGAGUAUCAUGAACACCUCAACCCUCAUGGUUUGCCAUGAUGGGCUUGGACUUUGGGGGUCUUGCUGGAUUGUAGUCAGCUCCCCUUAAAUGAAUCAGCUUGCCAGUGUUUGGUGGCAUCACAGGUGUGAUAACUAUCUACGCUUGUGGUUUUACAUCAGAUAACCUUCAGUGAUGGAGGUUCGCUGGAGCUCAUAAAGGUGUCUCUCCUCUGUGAGGGACAGCUCUUUGAACGUUUGAUCUCAAAUCAGGCAGGACUACCCGCUGAACUUAGCAUAUC
rnacentral:rRNA from 1 species